CACACUUUUAACUUCAAAUUUUAAGAUAAAAAAACCAUAGCUAAAAUAAAACAAGAAGCGCUGAACUAUUUCAGUUUCCCUCUCUCCCAAAUUCACCUUCUACCGCCCUCGAUUUCAAAUAAUCCCCAAAUCCUAAUUUUCAUUCCAUUGAUGAUUGAUCCCCAAUUUCAUCAGGAUACUGAUUUACACGGCCAGUUGCAGAAAUUUGCACAGAAUAUAAUUCUUGAGUAUUCGCAGCUUCUGGGGGAUUCAAGAAGCAGCGAUGAUAUGUGUUAUCAAUGGUGGUACUUCUUUCACAAGAGGGAAACUCAACUUAAUUUUAAGGUUGAUUGGUUUGUGGAGAACCUGAUGAUGGUUGGGUUGGGUUUUCACUGAGAUUCGGCUAAAUUAUCUUGUAUAUUGGGUGACAGAUUUGAUCUGAAGCUAUUAACAUAGUACUGGCAUCCCUACACUGAUUUGAUAAUCGAUAAUGCUGAUAUUAUGGAAGACUCUAAGGAAGAAAGAUUUUCGUAGUUCCAAACGUUUAGUCCAGAUGAGAGAACAAAGCUAAAAAGUGAAGUAUGUGGCUUUUUUUUCUUUUUGUGAAGUGUGUUUACAAUUAUGGGAAUGAAAUUAAAUUAACAUGGAUGUAUUGAGGAGUCAGUAUUUAAUAAGUUAAUGAAGUUGAUGAAUUAGUUGAUUUCAGUUACUUCAGUAUAAUGGUUAUAUGGAGAUAAGCAUGUUAUAGUUGAGAAUCACCAUUGCAUCCUUGAUGUAAUACUAUUUUUUUUCAGAGUGAUGAACUUGAUGCACAACAGGGAAAUAGAGUAACAAUAUUGGCAGAUUGUGGGACAUUGACUGCAGAACUGAGUUGUCUUCCAAUCCUAGGAUUCUUACAUUUAAGGAAGGGAGCACACGAACUUGAUAUUUUGUGCAUAUUCAUAUUUAUUUCACAUAUAACUUGGAAUACUACUACUAUUUGGAGUGCUAAUAUUGAAGGGGUUGGCAGCGAAAGCGAGCACGAGAUCCGAUCACAUAAAAUUGAUCUAUUUAGCAGAUUAUUUAGACAAAUUCUAUUCGCGUAAUUAUCACAUGUAUCAUGCUCAUAACUUGAAUUAAAACAUGCUUUAGCAUA